rnacentral:rRNA from 1 species
UACGAAGGGGGCAAGCGUUGUUCGGAAUUACUGGGCGUAAAGGGCUCGUAGGCGGCCAACUAAGUCAGACGUGAAAUCCCUCGGCUUAACCGGGGAACUGCGUCUGAUACUGGAUGGCUUGAGAUUGGGAGAGGGAUGCGGAAUUCCAGGUGUAGCGGUGAAAUGCGUAGAUAUCUGGAGGAACACCGGUGGCGAAGGCGGCAUCCUGGACCAACACUGACGCUGAGGAGCGAAAGCCAGGGGAGCAAACGGG